rnacentral:rRNA from 1 species
GACGAACGCUGGCGGCGUGCUUAACACAUGCAAGUCGAACGCUGAAGCUCAGCUUUUGUUGGGUGGAUGAGUGGCGAACGGGUGAGUAACACGUGAGUAACCUGCCUCCUUCUUUGGGAUAACGCCCGGAAACGGGUGCUAAUACUGGAUAUUCACUGGUCUUCGCAUGGGGGUUGGUGGAAAGGGUUUUUCUGGCGGGGGAUGGGCUCGCGGCCUAUCAGCUUGUUGGUGGGGUGAUGGCCUACCAAGGCUUUGACGGGUAGCCGGCCUGAGAGGGUGACCGGUCACAUUGGGGCUGAGAUACGGCCCAGACUCCUACGGGAGGCAGCAGUGGGGAAUAUUGCACAAUGGGCGCAAGCCUGAUGCAGCGACGCCGCGUGAGGGAUGGAGGCCUUCGGGUUGUGAACCUCUUUCGCUCAUGGUCAAGCCGCAACAAUGGUUGUGGUGAGGGUAGUGGGUAAAGAAGCGCCGGCUAACUACGUG